rnacentral:RNase_P_RNA from 1 species
CGAGUAAAUCAGAUGAUCGCAUGAAUUACAUGAGGAAAGUCCGAGCUCCAUAGGGCAAGAGUGCUGGGUAAUACCCAGUGGAGGUAACUCUAAGGAUAGUGCAACAGAAAUAAACCGCCUGCAUGACAGGUAAGGAUGGAAAGGUGAGGUAAGAGCUCACCAGAGGCUAGGUGACUAGUCUGCUCUGUAAACCCCACUCGGAGCAAGACCAAGUAGGGAUGAAAAAGCUACUGCUCGUAGUAUCCCGUAGGUAGGUCGCUUGAGUCUACUGGUAACAGUAGAUCUAGAAAGAUGAUCGUCAGAUACAGAACUCGGCUUAUAGAUUUAGUCGUAUA